AGAGAGAGAGAGAGAGAGAGAGAGAGAGAGAGCUGCCCGCCGGCCCAUUGAGGAAAGAUGGCUACAGUCACUGCAAACGGAGUGCAGCAAGAGAAUGGAUUCAGCACCACGAACAGCGCCGGCAGGAUGAACGGGCUUACCAUCGGCCAGAACACCAUUCCAAUGAAGGACCACGACGCCAUCAAGCUUUUCAUCGGGCAGAUUCCCAGAAACCUGGAGGAAAAAGACCUGAAACCCCUGUUUGAGGAAUUCGGAAAGAUAUACGAACUCACAGUACUGAAAGACAGGUUUACGGGAAUGCAUAAAGGAUGUGCCUUUCUAACAUACUGUGCCAGAGAGUCAGCACUGAAGGCCCAGAGCGCCCUCCAUGAACAGAAGACUCUGCCAGGGAUGAACCGGCCCAUCCAGGUGAAGCCAGCCGACAGCGAAGGACGAGGAGAAGACAGGAAGCUGUUUGUGGGGAUGCUCGGCAAGCAGCAGAGCGAGGACGAUGUCCGGCGGCUGUUCGAGACCUUCGGCCAGAUCGAGGAGUGCACCGUCCUGCGAGGGCCUGAUGGGGCCAGUAAGGGCUGUGCCUUUGUCAAGUUCUCCAGCCACGCAGAAGCGCAGGCCGCCAUCAACAGCUUGCAUGGUGGACAGACUAUGCCUGGUGCCUCGUCCAGCCUGGUGGUCAAAUUUGCAGACACUGAUAAGGAGAGAACCCUGCGCAGGAUGCACCAGAUGGCAGGGCAGCUCGGCAUCUUCAGUCCCAUGACCAUCCAGUUUGGGGCCUAUGGCGCCUACUCUCAUGCUGUAAGUCUCAGCCCGGCGGGGGAGGAGACGCAGAUGAUGCAACAGCAAGCAGCCCUGAUGGCAGCAACACAAGGGUCCUACCUGAACCCUAUGGCAGCCAUCGCUGCCGCGCAAAUGCAGCAAAUGGCAGCUUUCAAUGUCAACGGCCUGGUGGCUACUCCCAUGACACCGUCCUCAGGCACCAGCACACCCCCGGGCAUCUCUGCCACAGCCGUGCCCAGCAUAGCCACCCCUAUUGGGGUCAACGGAUUCAGUGCCCUUCCGCCUCAAAGCAACGGGCAGCCCACAUCUGAGCCCAUCUACACCAAUGGUAUUCAUCCUUACCCAGCACAGAGUCCAACGGUGACCGACCCUCUCCAACAGGCUUAUGCUGGCGUCCAACACUACGCAGCAGCCUACCCUGCCGCCUAUGCGCCAAUCAGCCAAGCGUUCCCCCAGCAACCAACCAUCAUUCCCCAGCAACAGAGGGAAGGGCCAGAAGGUUGCAACCUGUUUAUUUAUCACCUGCCCCAGGAGUUUGGAGAUGCUGAGCUCAUGCAAAUGUUCCUACCUUUCGGUAACGUCAUCUCCGCCAAAGUCUUUGUGGACCGAGCAACCAAUCAGAGCAAAUGUUUCGGCUUUGUGAGUUUUGAUAACCCGUCCAGUGCUCAAGCCGCUAUCCAGGCCAUGAACGGCUUUCAGAUAGGCAUGAAGAGGCUGAAGGUGCAGCUAAAGCGGCCAAAGGAUGCCAACCGACCUUACUGACUCGUCUGCUGUCCAUAUCCAGUGUGAGGUGGCCUUUCUCCGCUAUAGCCACACACCCCCUACACCUGUCAUGGGGCCAAGUUCCCACAGCUGAUGAAGGGCCACAACACCUUAUUUCCACAAGUGCAGUAAAAGUACAAAGACUUCUUGCUCUGCUACAU